UUAUAACUUACUACUAAGUAUAGCAAUUAAUUUAUGUCGUUCUGAUUAAAGUGGUUUCUUGGGCACUUUACAUACUUUUACCAUGUAUGACAUUCGUUUACUGUAGUUUUCUUAUAUUGUUAUUAUAGUUGGUAUUGUGCUUGCAGAGGUUCCUUGAUCAUUGUGUUUGAUUUGCUGUUGCAUUAAAUAUUUUAGCUGUCAAUUCCACAGCUUGCCUAACUAGGUAAAAAACACAGGUCUUGUCAACAUAUUUUCAAUGAAUUACCAGGCAACGUGUAGAAUUUGUUCGGUCAGUAGUCUAUGCAUGAUCAAAAGGGAGAAGUCCAAUAUAUUUUAUUGAGGUGCUACUAGAUGGAUGUGAAUAGCUCCAAAAUAUAUCUCCAAGGUUGUAGCAGAAGAUAAGUGGAAAACUGGUGAAGCAACAUUAUUCUGCUACAAUUAUGAAAUUGUUUGGAUGGUUUUUUAUUACUGAUGUUGGACAAAAUUAAAUUUAUCAAAAAUGCAAUUUUGUAAGUUAUGGAUAUUGUAAUUAUUGAUUCUAUCAAUGGUAAUUUUUUAUUUUUAUUU